AUUGAACGCUGGCGGCAUGCCUUACACAUGCAAGUCGAACGCCAAAGACGCGGGGGCGAACUCUGCGCAAGUAGCGUGGCGCACGGGUGAGUAACACAUCGGAACGUAUCCUCUAGUGGGGGACGAACCAGUCGAAAGAUUGGCUAAUACCGCAUACGCUGGAGACAGGAAAGCGGGGGACGUCACCGCAAGGUGGGCCUCGCGCUAGUGGCGCGGCCGAUGCCGAUUAGCUAGUUGGCGGGGUAAGAGCCCACCAAGGCGACGAUCGGUAGCGGGUCUGAGAGGAUGAUCCGCCACACUGGGACUGAGACACGGCCCAGACUCCUACGGGAGGCAGCAGUGGGGAAUUUUUGGACAAUGGGGCAACCCUGAUCCAGCCAUGCCGCGUGAGUGAAGAAGGCCU
rnacentral:rRNA from 1 species